ACGAACUACUACUCUAUUUUGUAAAAUUUUUUAGAAGUAAACAAAGCCUAUACAUACUACAUAUAGUAUAAUGAAAACAUUGGGUACCACACAAACCCAGACUCAAGCCUGUUCCCUCCGUCGUACAGUUUCCACGGACGCGAAGGUUGUUUUUGGCGCGAGAUUGCUCAUACUGGCGAUGGCUACAGAACCAUGACGAUAGAAUCUUUUUAUAUAAAAAAUGACGACAGAAAAUAGUUAGGGUUUGUUUAGAUCCAAUUUUUUUUUUAGAUUUUGACACCGUAACAUUUUUGUUUUUAUUUGAUAAACAUUGUCCAAUUAUAGAGUAACUAGGCUUAAAAGAUUCAUCUUGCGAUUUACAGAUAAACUAUGUAAUUAGUUUUUAUUUUCAUCUAUAUUUAAUGCUCUAUGCAUGUGCUGCAAGAUUCGAUAUGAUGGAGAAUCUUUUAAAGUUUUGAAUCUUUUUUUGUUAAACAACGCCUUAAAAGCUGCAGCCAUACUAGGCCUUAUUUAGAUGCAAAAAGAUUUUGGAUUUCGCUACUGUAGCACUUUCGUUUGUUUGUGGCAA
rnacentral:lncRNA from 1 species